GAUAAACGCUGGCGGCGUGCCUAAUACAUGCAAGUCGAGCGAACGGACGAGAAGCUUGCUUCUCUGAUGUUAGCGGCGGACGGGUGAGUAACACGUGGAUAACCUACCUAUAAGACUGGGAUAACUUCGGGAAACCGGAGCUAAUACCGGAUAAUAUUUUGAACCGCAUGGUUCAAAAGUGAAAGACGGUCUUGCUGUCACUUAUAGAUGGAUCCGCGCUGCAUUAGCUAGUUGGUAAGGUAACGGCUUACCAAGGCAACGAUGCAUAGCCGACCUGAGAGGGUGAUCGGCCACACUGGAACUGAGACACGGUCCAGACUCCUACGGGAGGCAGCAGUAGGGAAUCUUCCGCAAUGGGCGAAAGCCUGACGGAGCAACGCCGCGUGAGUGAUGAAGGUCUUCGGAUCGUAAAACUCUGUUAUUAGGGAAGAACAUAUGUGUAAGUAACUGUGCACAUCUUGACGGUACCUAAUCAGAAAGCCACGGCUAACUACGUGCCAGCAGCCGCGGUAAUACGUAGGUGGCAAGCGUUAUCCGGAAUUAUUGGGCGUAAAGCGCGCGUAGGCGGUUUUUUAAGUCUGAUGUGAAAGCCCACGGCUCAUCCGUGGAGGGUCAUUGGAAAUUGGAAAACUUGAGUGCAGAAGAGGAAAGUGGAAUUCCAUGUGUAGCGGUGAAAUGCGCAGAGAUAUGGAGGAACACCAGUGGCGAAGGCGACUUUCUGGUCUGUAACUGACGCUGAUGUGCGAAAGCGUGGGGAUCAAACAGGAUUAGAUACCCUGGUAGUCCACGCCGUAAACGAUGAGUGCUAAGUGUUAGGGGGUUUCCGCCCCUUAGUGCUGCAGCUAACGCAUUAAGCACUCCGCCUGGGGAGUACGACCGCAAGGUUGAAACUCAAAGGAAUUGACGGGGACCCGCACAAGCGGUGGAGCAUGUGGUUUAAUUCGAAGCAACGCGAAGAACCUUACCAAAUCUUGACAUCCUUUGACAACUCUAGAGAUAGAGCCUUCCCCUUCGGGGGACAAAGUGACAGGUGGUGCAUGGUUGUCGUCAGCUCGUGUCGUGAGAUGUUGGGUUAAGUCCCGCAACGAGCGCAACCCUUAAGCUUAGUUGCCAUCAUUAAGUUGGGCACUCUAAGUUGACUGCCGGUGACAAACCGGAGGAAGGUGGGGAUGACGUCAAAUCAUCAUGCCCCUUAUGAUUUGGGCUACACACGUGCUACAAUGGACAAUACAAAGGGCAGCGAAACCGCGAGGUCAAGCAAAUCCCAUAAAGUUGUUCUCAGUUCGGAUUGUAGUCUGCAACUCGACUACAUGAAGCUGGAAUCGCUAGUAAUCGUAGAUCAGCAUGCUACGGUGAAUACGUUCCCGGGUCU
rnacentral:rRNA from 1 species